rnacentral:piRNA from 1 species
UGUGAAUACUGGUGGAGAAUUUAACAGAGC